rnacentral:lncRNA from 1 species
CCACACAAAAAUAAUUAAAUAACACUGUCAAUCCAUACCACAACAAGUCAAUCAACACUACUAUCGUUAUAGUGGGGCGUUACAAAUAACAUCAUCAAUCAACUAAAUAAUUAAAUAAAAUGAAUUCUAAUUUUUGGGGCGUUACAGUGGUGGCUGAAAUAAAGAAACGCAGAAGGACUACGCAAAAAAUGAAAGCAACCCCGAAAUAGAAGACAAAAAGUAAAGGCUAAAACAGAAGCCGAAGUGAAUACAGCCCCAAAAACCGAUAACCACUGUCGAGGCCACCCAAAACCACCGUUGCAGUGAUGUAAACUUGGAGUUGCA